AGUGAACGCUGGCGGUAGGCCUAACACAUGCAAGUCGAACGGCAGCACAGUAAGAGCUUGCUCUUACGGGUGGCGAGUGGCGGACGGGUGAGGAAUACAUCGGAAUCUACUUUUUCGUGGGGGAUAACGUAGGGAAACUUACGCUAAUACCGCAUACGACCUACGGGUGAAAGCAGGGGAUCUUCGGACCUUGCGCGAUUGAAUGAGCCGAUGUCGGAUUAGCUAGUUUGCGGGGUAAAGGCCCACCAAUGCGACGAUCCGUAGCUGGUCUGAGAGGAUGAUCAGCCAAACUGGAACAGAGACACGGUCCAGACUCCUAAGGGAGGCAGCAGUGGGGAAUAUUGGACAAUGGGCGCAAGCCUGAUCCAGCCAUACCGAGUGAGUGAAGAAGGCCUUCGGGUUGUAAAGCCCUUUUGUUGGGAAAGAAAAGCAGGAGGUUAAUACCCCGCUGUUCUGACGGUACCCAAAGAAUAAGCACCGGCUAACUUCGUG
rnacentral:rRNA from 1 species